GGCUUCGGAGUGAGGCUCUGGGUCACCUCCCACCCGUGUUUAUUUUACCUUGUUGCUUCGGCGGGCCCGCCUUAACUGGCCGCCGGGGGGCUUACGCCCCCGGGCCCGCGCCCGCCGAAGACACCCUCGAACUCUGUCUGAAGAUUGUAGUCUGAGUGAAAAUAUAAAUUAUUUAAAACUUUCAACAACGGAUCUCUUGGUUCCGGCAUCGAUGAAGAACGCAGCGAAAUGCGAUACGUAAUGUGAAUUGCAAAUUCAGUGAAUCAUCGAGUCUUUGAACGCACAUUGCGCCCCCUGGUAUUCCGGGGGGCAUGCCUGUCCGAGCGUCAUUGCUGCCCUCAAGCACGGCUUGUGUGUUGGGCCCCGUCCUCCGAUCCCGGGGGACGGGCCCGAAAGGCAGCGGCGGCACCGCGUCCGGUCCUCGAGCGUAUGGGGCUUUGUCACCCGCUCUGUAGGCCCGGCCGGCGCUUGCCGAUCAACCCAAAUUUUUAUCCAGGUUGACCUCGGAUCAGGUAGGGAUACCCGCUGAACUUAAGCAUAUCAAUAAGCGGAGGA
rnacentral:sRNA from 1 species